AACGAACGCUGGCGGCAGGCCUAACACAUGCAAGUCGAACGGUCCUUCGGGAUAGUGGCGCACGGGUGAGUAACGCGUGGGAAUAUACCCUUGACUGCGGAAUAAUAUUUGGAAACGAAUACUAAUACCGCAUAAUGACUCCGGUCCAAAGAUUUAUCGGUCAAGGAUUAGCCCGCGUUAGAUUAGAUAGUUGGUGAGGUAACGGCUCACCAAGUCGACGAUCUAUAGCUGGUCUGAGAGGAUGAUCAGCCACACUGGAACUGAGACACGGUCCAGACUCCUACGGGAGCAGCAGUGAGGAAUAUUGGACAAUGGGGGCAACCCUGAUCCAGCCAUGCCGCGUGAGUGAAGAAGG
rnacentral:rRNA from 1 species